rnacentral:rRNA from 1 species
CAGCAGCCACGGUAAUACGGAGGGAGCUAGCGUUAUUCGGAAUUACUGGGCGUAAAGCGCACGUAGGCGGCUUUGUAAGUUAGAGGUGAAAGCCUGGAGCUCAACUCCAGAAUUGCCUUUAAGACUGCAUCGCUUGAGUCCAGGAGAGGUGAGUGGAAUUCCGAGUGUAGAGGUGAAAUUCGUAGAUAUUCGGGAGAACACCAGUGGCGAAGGCGGCUCACUGGACUGGUAUUGACGCUGAGGUGCGAAAGCGUGGGGAGCAAACAGGAUUAGAUACCCGGGUAGUCCCUGUCUCUUAUAA